CAUAGGAAGGCAUUUGCGGAAGGCACUCAUUCACGUACCAUCUAUAUAUGUAUAUUUUUAUACACACAUAGAUAGGCACAUGCACACUUGAGUUAUAACAGAUCUGUGGGAAAUACUGAACAAAAAAUAGAUGUUCAAAGCAUGUAUUUCUAAAUUGCUAUAUUAGCGUUAUACACAGAAGACAAUAGAAACGUCAUACUAAAAAUAUAUCAAUAUGAAGACUGUGUCCUGGAUGCUGAUCAUGAAAUUCCAGUGAAUGUUCAUCCUGCGUUGCUGAAGUAGCGUACAGUUAAGAUACCAGUGAUUCUGACAGUAUUUGACUUGCACCAGGAAAAGAAACAAGCAAUGUCACAGACAGCUGAAGAGAUUUUUUUUAGAAAAUAUAUGGUUGCUGGAGGCCACGAUUCUGGUGAGAUGAUUAAUGGUUAGUGAGACCUGCAUCCCAUGGAAGAAGAGACAAAUCUCUCUCUGUGAGGCCAGCAGAAGGAAUGAGGCAAUUGAGGACCUGGAGGCUGCAGUUCAGAACAUCAUUUCCUUGAACUGAAUCAUUGAGUCUGGAGGGAAGGAAAUGAAAGGCUUCCCUCUUUGCCAUAAUUUGGAAGAAAGAUUUGGAUUUCCCAUGCCAUCACUACCUUCUGUUUUUAAUAGCAAAAAGUGGCUCUUCAAAGAAAAGGAUUUGCCUUUUCUUUUUAAAAGAUGUAAAAGUCCUACAGUGUUGCUAACUCAUAGGCACCACAGACCUGUUUCCAAAAGAAGUUUCUAUGUGAGACACUGCUCUUCCGGACAGCAUAAGAGCUGGACUGUGUGGGAAGGAGACAUACAGUAAUUAUCAAUAAUUUAUGAAUGUGUAUGUUUGGCCCCAUAUGCAGAGUGUGCUCCUGCACCAUUUGAACUGCCAACUGAUGCUGAAUGGAAGCAACUUAUGUGGAGGAGAUAUGUAUAAUUUCCUGAAGGAAACAGAACAUCCAAAUAUUUGUCUUGGUUAAUAAGAGAAGACAGAGGAAUAAUGAAGAGGGUUUUCACAAAGUGAUAUGCUGGGAAGAUGAGAGUAAUGCAUUUUUUCUCUGUAAGUCUCUGAUGUCCUUGCCCAAGUUCAGAUGGGCUGAAAAUGCACCACUUUUGACUCAAGGCACAUUUGAACAAACUGCUACCAGACAGACACAAGAGUUGUAAACCUGAUAUCAGAAGAACAGUCUCUCUGCAUUUGAUGAUUACAAUGGGCAAAGAGUGCCUGAGGGUAUCAGACAGGGAAGAAACCUAAGCUCUCUUUUUUUGUUGUUGUUUGUUUUGGUUUUGGUUUGUUCUCUCUCCUUUCUUUUCUUUUCUUUUCUUUUCUUUUCUUUUCUUUUCUUUUCUUUUCUUUUCUUUUCUUUUCUUUUCUUUUCUCUUCUCUUCUCUUCUCUUCUCUUCUCUUCUCUUCUCUUCUCUUCUCUUCUCUUCUCUUCUUUCCUUUUCUUUCCUUUUCUUUCCUUUUCUUUCUUCUUUUCUUUCUUCUUUUUUUUUUUAAUGGAUGCUUUAUCUACACUACAGAAGAAAGGAGAGUUAUGGGUUCAAACAAAUACCAUGUCUGAGCUCCUUCGUGCAACUUGUCGUCUAAGUUCAACUUUCCUCUAAAUCAGCUAUUUAUGUGAUCUCCUAAUGGUGGGUUUAGAGAUAAGAGCAGAAUGUAGAACAACGGUUUUUUGUUUGGUUUUUUUUUUAAGAAUGCCUGUCUUUUUUUAUUUCUAAAUUUUAUUCUUACUUUUUAUACUAGGUUCUAAAGGCACACGUCCAUAAAAUGCCAUCAAAUAAAAUUUUAUUUGUAGAUAUUAUAGAAAGUCUAUCUGUAAAAGUGUUUUCUGAGAGCAUUAGUACAUUAUUGCCCAAUCCAAGCUGACCAGCAAUUCUUCUCAGAAAAUGUGCCACAUUUGGUACACAUGUGCAUGUUUACAUGGACACAUGAAAAAGCCCAUACCAUGAGAAGGCUGAGUGCAUGCCAGCUCUGCCUGAAAGCUUUAUGGCCCUAUUAGUAGGAAGUGCUCCAAAGCUGAAAUACCCUUCCUUGUGUAAUUAACUCUCUCUGCCGUGGAGGUGGACUCAUGUUAAAGAAUGAUCUAUGAUCCUGCAGAUUUUCCUAAGAUUAUUGUUUUGGACUGAUGACAGUGCCUAAAGAAACACAUGAUAUCAUUUCCUUCAAAUUCCUUAUAAAAGUUUGUUCAAAUAUUUAUUAAAGAAUUGCAGGGCAAGCAUUUUCACAGCUAAUGUGAAAUCUCUUUGAUUUCACUUCUCAUCAAAAAUGUUGCAGUUAAUCAAACAUCAGGAACAGCACCAUAUGUUUAAUCUCAAUAAAAUUAGAGAAUAAUUUUGUAUGGAACAAAAAGAACAAAGACAUAGUCAAUGCAACUGUCCUAAUUCAGACUGCAAUGUUACCAGGACAAGAGCCUCUAUUCCAACAGGUCAGUAACAUACUUAUGACACCUUUUCCCUGAGUAUGGCUCAGACUUCUGUUUUCUACUACAAUACAGGAUAUAUUUGUUGGGAAAAAAAAGAUCACAAAACUCAGAGCAUGGCCUUGUCUGUUUCCGUAGUAAAUACAUAAAUUAUACAAGUUUCUUCUAUUUUUGAAAUAUUUUCCAAAGUUGAUAAUGAAAGAAUAAAUUAAAUCAUUUAUUGCAUAAAUUCACAAAAGACCAUUUUGCUUCAUAUGACACUUAGACUAAAAAAGUAUACAUUUUUAGAUCCUUGUUUCAGCCUUUGUAUUUAGAGUAAAUGAUCAAUCAGUACAGACGUGAGUAAAAAUCAAUAAAACAAAUACAUUUUCCUUGUGACUUGUCCAAAGGUUGUGAUUUAGUUGUAGUGCAACUUAAGUUGUUGGCCCUGUUACAUCAUGUAUGACACUGUAACGUCUUUUUUUUUUUUUUUUUUAAUUGAGGAAGGAGUAUGUAGCUCAAAAACCAAAGAGGAAGGGAUUUAAAAAUCCUAAGACCCCCCAAAAAAAACCAGUUUUCUGUUAAUGGGCUUUAUUACACCCAUUUUCCAACUGUAUCUUGAUCUGAAGCCCACUGAGGUACGCAAAUCUCUUUCCAUUGGCUAGUCAGCAUUGAAACAGGUUUUUGAAAUUUUAUAUGGUUAAAAUAUAGCAAUAAAACCUACAUAUGUGAAACAUUCACCAGAUGCAUUCCUCAUAUGGUGUUUCUCUUGAUGACAAUGACAUUUUCAUGCACAGAAUGCAUGCAGAAGUACUGCAUAGAGCAGAAAUAACUCACUCCAAAUAGUCAAUCCAAAACUCAAUAACUCAAUCGAAACUGUCCUCAAACUAUUCAUCAAGCAGUAAGAUUUUUAAAAAGUCAUCCUUUCACGGAGAACAUUCUUUUUUAAGAGAAUUCUCUAAAGGCAAGAUCUCAAAGACCAAGCUCACUGAGUUAGUCUAAUCUUUGCUGUAUGUGGAUUAAUGUAUGUGUAUUCAUCAGUUUGUAUACACCAAGUGGAAAAGGUCUCCUCCUAAAAUCAGUUGUAGCUCUUGGCCUGGGAAGACUGGCUAAGGGCAAAGGGAGAGGGAGAGAGAUUUUGUUACCACAGGCACAAAAAAUUCUGGCACCACUGCUUGCAACCGCAGGACAGAUCAGAGUAAUGAUAGUUUACAUUUUUUAAAUUUCCAGGAGGACAUAUUUAGCAUCCUAUGGGCUUAUCACUUAAAAAUAUAUGCCAUUCACUCCUUAAAUAAAAUUCCUAUUUUUAAUAACUUAUGCUUUGACCUUUCAGAAUAGACAAUGUUAUAAUAAAUUAACCCUAAUGCCUUCCUUAAAUAUCCUCUAAAAUGUUGCCUACUUCAGUGAUAAAAAUAGGAUCCAGAUUUUGAAGAUGUCCCAAGUGAAGUAGCAAGCGGCAUCUGUUGAAAUCAGAAUGUAUUGGACAUAAAUUGCUGUAUGCCUCAUUAAUGCCAGUCCCCACCAAACAGAUCACUAAAUAUGCAUUCACUGAUUCCAGAAGUGUCCAAAAAAAGCCAGCCUGGGGAAAGGGACAGGUAUGCAUGUUCCUGGGAUCUGUUUUUGCCCUGUCAUUCCACAAUGCAGAAUAGGGCUAAUGUAGUUAUCUUGUCAGCUGAGAGACAGAGAUUCUGGAAGCAAUUUGGAGUUUUACUGCCUGCUGAAGACCAAAACUGAAACUUGUUUUCCAAGCAACUGAUCACAGAAUCAUAGAAUGGCCUGGGUUGAAAAGGACCACAGUGAUUGUCUAGUUUCAACCCCCCCUGCUAUGUGCAGGGUUGCCAACCACUAGACCAGGCUGCCCAGAGCCACAUCCAACCUGGCCUUGAAUGCCUCCAGGGAUGGGGCGUCCCCAGUCUCCUUGGGCAAACUCUUCCAGUGCAUCACCACCCCCUGGGUGAAAAACUUCCUCCUAAUAUCUAACCUAAACCUCCCCUGUCUCAGUUUAAAACCAUUCCCCCUUGUCCUGUCACUAUCCACCCUCGUAAACAGUCAUUCUCCCUCCUGUUGAUAUGCUCCCUUCAAGUACUGGAAGGCCAGUGAUGAGAGGAUUCAGUAAGAUGAGGCAUGCAGGUACAAAUUUCCUUUUUCAAAAUAUUUUUAUACCAAAUAAAUUAUUUUUUUCUAGCUCUGGUAAGAGGAGCUGAAACAGAGGAACUCAGCAGGAAAGGGAUUUUAGCUAGGCGUGGGGGUGACUUGGGUCCAAACUCUGCAAUACACAGAUGAGAAUUUGUGUAACUCUCACCUUGUAGAAUUGUUUCAUUUUCAGUGUUGAGCACAGAAGCGUACCCUGGCUAUGUAUUUUGCUGUACUUUGGCAUGUUUAGAGGAUUGAGCUGAAGAUACCCUAAUUAGAGAUUUCUGAUUUGGCUUGAACAUAAACAGCUUCUGUAUGCAUUUGUAUUUGUGCUUUAAAUAGCUUUUUGAGUAAAAAGUAUGCCAAGACUCUGAAAACUGGAGUCUGGGCUAGAUGAUAUCACUUUGUUUGUUUGUUUGUUUUAUAGAUUUCCAAUCUGUAAAAAUCUGCAAUGCAUUUUGGACAACAGUUGUUUACCGUACCAUAGUGCGGUACUGAAUUUGGAAGAAUGCACAGAAGACUUUAAAAUUUCACAUGACACAGAUUCUUGCAACAACUAGAACUUGCAUUCCUGAGGAGUUAUCUGCCCCAUCAAUUAAAGACCCUUUGUGUAGGCUGAGCCAUUGGUGGCAUUUCUUCCCAGGAGAUUAUAUGAAAGAGGCAUUUUAUGUCUUUGCUGCAGACUUUCUGCCUCACUCUGCCUGGAGCAGGCAGAGAAUUGAAAAGGAUGUGCCCCAUACAUGUAAAAUAUAUACAAGGGCUGCUCCAAAAAUAAUGCCUCCCAUUUAUUAUGUUGGCCCACAAUGUCAGAGGUGGAUGUUGGUGGUAUGGAAGCAGAGAUUGAACCUUCUCACGAACAUUCUGUUACAUGUUGUUGUUUUGCGACAGAUGGCGGCAGAGGGGCAGUCUGGCAAAAUGGCGUCUGAUAUGGAAGUGUGUAUGGAACAAAGGCACCUCACUGAAUUCCUCUGUGGAAAAAAUGGCACCCAUUGACAUCCAUUGAUGUUUGCUGAACGUUGAUGGAGACCAAAUAGUGGAUAUGAGCUCAGAGAGGCAGUGGGUGGGUGGUGAGUUUCAACACUGGUGACAGCAACAGUGGGUCACCUCCGCUGGCACAGAUUUUUACAAGCGCGACAUGCGUGCUCAUCUUCAUCUCGGGUGAAAAUGCAUAAAAUAGUGUUAUUGUCUUUUUGGUAUGUGUGGUAGUUUGCAUGUAAAUAAAUGGGAGGCAUUAUUUUCAGAGCAGCCUGAAACUUCAGGAAAUUUUAGUAACAAGUAAUUAUGAAAUAAAAGAAUGCUACUCACAUGAACAUGGUAGAGGUAAGAGAAAACUGGUAAUCACUGAGGAGGGAAAUAUAGAAUAUAAAAAUCUUUGGCAUUAUGUCUUUGGCUUGUUUGGCUACUUGGUAUUAGAGGUUUCAGCACAUUAGCUUUUAUAGAACAAAUACAUUCUGUGAAGGGAUCUGUUCCAUUAAAAGGCUCCUAUUAUGAACUGACCUGCUACAGUCAUACAGAUGCAGUCUUUCACAUUAUCCUGAACUGAAUAAAUAUCAAUCAUUUUCUUUACUUUGAAAAAUCACAGUUAUUCCUCUAUUUUAACAGUCCCCUUACUUUCCUGUACUGCAAGUCAUUUUUAGUUAUUCUGAUGAGUCAUAGCCAGCAUAUUAUUCUGCAGCAUUUCACUCCAUUUUCUUUUUUGCUAAAACUUUGCCUACAGUAACUUUGGCCCCGUUAGUCCUUGAUUUGUCCCAUCCAACACUCAAGCUUAUAACUGACAUAGGAAAUUAAUAACUUUAGGCUUCCUGAAUAUGUUAUAGGCACCUUGAAAAUGUAAAUUCAUGCUGCUGCACCCCAGUGCUGCAUAUUCCCAGUUCAGUGAGUACUGAAAAAAGCUUCAAGUGAUAGCUCAGAUAGAGGUACCUCAAGAGGGAUUAAUUCAGAUCCUGAUUUCUUUAAAUCAGUACUUUUAAAAAUAAACUAACUUUCAUACAGAUGCAUACAGAAAAUUUACCAGUGCAACUGGUAAAUACCAGGCAGAUUUGAGGUUCAUUAUCAUAGAAUCAUAGAAUCAUAGAAUGGUUGAAGAGGACCAUAAUGAUCAUCUAGUUUCAACCCCCCUUGCUAUGGGCAGGGUUGCCAACCACUAGACCAGGCUGCCCAGAGCCACAUCCAGCCUGGCAUUGAAUGCCUCCAGGGAUGGGGCAUCCACAACCUCCUUGGGCAACCUGUUCCAGUGCAUCACCACCCCCUGGGUGAAAAACUUCCUCCUAAAAUCUAACCUAAACCUCCCCUGUCUUUGUUUAAAACCAUUCCCCUUGUCCUAUAGCUAUCCACCCUCGUAAACAGCUGUUCCCCCUCCUGUUGAUAUGCUCCCUUCAAGUACUGGAAGUCCACAACGAGGUCCCCCCAGAGCCUUCUCUUCUCCAAGCUAAACACGCCCAGUUCCCUCAGCCUUUCUUGAGAGGUGCUCUAGCCCUCUGAUCAUCUUAGUGGCCCUCCUCUGUACCCACUCCAAUUGCUCCACAUCCUUCCUGUACUGGGGGCCCCAGGCCUGGACACAGUACUCCAGAUGGGGCCUCCCAAGAGCCGAGUAGAAGGGGACAAUCACCUCCCUCUCCCUGCUGGCUACACCUUUUUUAAUGCCCAGAACACAUUUGGCCUUCCGGGCUGCAAGCGCACUGCUGGCUCAUGUCCAGCUUCUCAUCCACCAGGACCCCCAAGUCCUUCUCCACAGGGCUGCUUCCAAGGGUUUCUUCACACAAUCUGUAUAAACACCUGCAGCACUCAACCCAAGUGCAGCACCGUGCACUUGGCCUUAUUGAACCUCAUUAGAUUUUCAUGGGCCCACUUCUCCAGCCUCUCCAGGUCCCCCUGGAUGGCUUCCCUUCCUUCCAACGUAUCGACUGCACCAUUCAGCUUGGUGUCAUCUGCAAACUUGCUGAGGGUGCACUCGAUGCCAUCCAUCGUCUGUGUCACUGAUGAAGAUGUUGAAGAGCACUGGUCCCAAGACCGACCCCUGAGGGACACCACUUGUGAGUGGCCUUCACCCUGACACAGAACCAUUGAUCACAGCUCUUUGGCUGUGUCCAGCCAGCCAGUUCCUAACCCAUCGAACAGUCCAUCUUUCAAAUCCUCACCUCUCCAAUUUAGAGAGAAUGUGGUAAGGGACUAUGUCUGGGAAGAUUACAUCUGUUGCCCUUCCCCUAUCCACCGAAGCCGUCAUUCCAUCAUAGAAGGCCACCAGAUUGGUCAGGCAGGAUCUGCCCUUGUUGAAGCCAUGCUGGCUGUCUCAGAUCACCUCCUUGUGUCGCAUGUGCCAUAACAUAGCUUCUAGGAGGAUCUGCUCCAUGGUCUUCCCAGGUCUCACAGAGGUGAGACUCACCAGCUUGUAGUUCCCUGGGUCUUCCUUUAAUGGCAUAAUGGCAUUGGUGACCUUUAAAUCUAUGCACCCACAGUUUAAGAUACAGGGCUGAGGGAAAGCAUCUACUAUUAGUCUGGCUAUAAAUCUUUUACUAAGUGAAAAGACUAUUACAUCUAUAUCAAUGUGCUCUACAGCCCUGUAGUGAAAAAUCAUGAAAAUGAGUAUAUUGCUGAAAUAUAUAAUAGUGGACUGUAAAAUGAAGCAAAGUUUUAAUGACCAGUUUGCAAUGUUCCAUGUAGUGUACAAUUCACAACAAGAUUGAUCACAGUUGCCUUUCUUGAGAUAAAUAUUUGUUCCAAAAGUUUGCUUUCCUUUUCUAUAUAAUUGUUUUGGGGUUUUUUGUUUGUUUGUUUGUUUGUUUUUGUUUUGUUUUGUUUUUUUUUCCUAUGGAAGAUAAUUUUCUGAUAACUAACAACUGAUGUUCAGUUUGUACCAGUGUUCUUUCUUUGCUACUCUGUAAACGAGCUCACAAUCUUACAGCUGCUGAGGUUGUUGCAAAAAGUCUUGGUUUCUUCAUCAAAGUAUUUUUUUUACAUAUAAAAUGGAUGGAACAUUUUCUGAACCUUCAGUAUUUCCCUUGUCCCUUCUUUUGUUCUUGUUUGUUUGUUCUUAUUCAGUCUCAUCAUCUUCUGGCAUUGUUCUUGACUAAUUGUAACGGACUGAUUGCUAACAUGUGUUGUCAAUGGAUUGUUUGCUGGCAUAUCUGACAAUAUUACCAUCUACUUCAGCCGUUUAUAAAUUUUGGUGUUUUUAU
ensembl:lncRNA